rnacentral:rRNA from 1 species
ACGAACGCUGGCGGCGUGCCUAAUACAUGCAAGUAGAACGCUGAAGAGAGGAGCUUGCUCUUCUUGGAUGAGUUGCGAACGGGUGAGUAACGCGUAGGUAACCUGCCUGGUAGCGGGGGAUAACUAUUGGAAACGAUAGCUAAUACCGCAUAAAAUGGAUUAUCGCAUGAUAAUCCAUUGAAAGGUGCAAAUGCAUCACUACCAGAUGGACCUGCGUUGUAUUAGCUAGUUGGUGGGGUAACGGCCCACCAAGGCGACGAUACAUAGCCGACCUGAGAGGGUGAUCGGCCAAACUGGGACUGAGACACGGCCCAGACUCCUACGGGAGGCGGCAGGAGGGGAACUUCGGCAAUGGACGGAAGUCUGACCGAGCAACGCCGCGUGAGUGAAGAAGGUUUUCGGAUCGUAAAGCUCUGUUGUAAGAGAAGAACGAGUGUGAGAGUAGAAAGUUCACACUGUGACGGUAUCUUACCAGAAAGGGACGGCUAACUACGUG